rnacentral:lncRNA from 1 species
GUGAGAUUGGGGUGUGGAGUGGAAGUGAAACGCAAUGACAGGGUUUUUGCCUGAUUGAUGGUCGUCCUCACUGAUGGAGAAGGAUGUCCAGCAGAUUUUAGAGAAGCUUCAGAGAGAUGGGACUGGAGAACGCCUAUGUUAUCGUCAGCUGGCCACUGCACGAAUUUCCACUCCCGUGAGUUCUGCCCACGACACAUUACUCUUGGUUUAUAUUAACAAGGAGGUUAAGAUGCAGCUUUGUAUUAGCUUUAUAAGUGAUGUGUAAACAUACUAUAUAAUCAAUAUUGAUGUUGCCUUUCCAAUUAUUGGACAUCAUUCCUAAUCCUUUAUUUACUGUGUUAUAAGUUGUAUUAUAUUUGUUUAAAAAAAAAAUAAAUCCAGAACAUGAUAUGGUCA